UACGUAGGGUACGAGCGUUGUCCGGAAUUAUUGGGCGUAAAGAGCUUGUAGGCGGUUUGUCGCGUCUGCUGUGAAAAUCCGGGGCUCAACCCCGGACUUGCAGUGGGUACGGGCAGACUAGAGUGUGGUAGGGGAGACUGGAAUUCCUGGUGUAGCGGUGAAAUGCGCAGAUAUCAGGAGGAACACCGAUGGCGAAGGCAGGUCUCUGGGCCACUACUGACGCUGAGAAGCGAAAGCAUGGGGAGCGAACAGGAUUAGAUACCCCU
rnacentral:rRNA from 1 species